GGAAUUUUGGACAAUGGGGGCAACCCUGAUCCAGCCAUUCCGCGUGAGUGAAGAAGGCCUUCGGGUUGUAAAGCUCUUUCGCAAGGGAAGAAAACUUAUGAUCGAAUAAAUCAUGAGGUUGACGGUACCUUGAUAAGAAGCACCGGCUAACUACGUGCCAGCAGCCGCGGUAAUACGUAGGGUGCGAGCGUUAAUCGGAAUUACUGGGCGUAAAGCGUGCGCAGGCGGUUUUGUAAGUCGGAUGUGAAAUCCCCGGGCUCAACCUGGGAACUGCGUUCGAAACUGCAAGGCUAGAGUGUGUCAGAGGGGGGUAGAAUUCCACGUGUAGCAGUGAAAUGCGUAGAGAUGUGGAGGAAUACCAAUGGCGAAGGCAGCCCCCUGGGAUAACACUGACGCUCAUGCACGAAAGCGUGGGGAGCAAACAGGAUUAGAUACCCUGGUAGUCCACGCCCUAAACGAUGUCAACUAGUUGUUGGUAGAGUAAAAUCUAUGAGUAACGUAGCUAACGCGUGAAGUUGACCGCCUGGGGAGUACGGUCGCAAGAUUAAAACUCAAAUGAAUUGACGG
rnacentral:rRNA from 1 species